GGCCUGGUGGUGUAAUGGUAGCGCGCUGUAUAAACUUGGGCCAAGAUACGUGGAAGUUCUUGCGGAGGUCCCCCGUUCGACUCGCAGCCAGGCCA